rnacentral:tRNA from 1 species
GGGAUUGUAGCUCAGUGGUACAGUGCUUACCUAGCAUGUAUGAGGCACUGGGUUCGAUUCUCAGCAUCACA